UGGCACAUAAUCAGGUUUAGGUAGAACAGCUGUAAACUUUGUGUUUGAUCUCUUUUCCGUGGGAUUUUGGGUAUUGAUGUGUGGGGAUAUCUCCUAGCUCUCUAGUAAACACUUGUCGAUGUCCUCCCAUUGUGUCAUAAGUCCCUGAGGCCGAUAUCCGUCUCUGCAGCCACAGAUGCUACUGCUUUUUCCGGAAUCCACUGUUCGAAGUUGAAGACCAACGGCUGCAAGACUUGUUCAAGCAUCCUCUUUUGUAUAGUGUUUCAAGUGCUGCCCCAGAUGGACAUCUGUAAUCUCAGACAGCGAUUCCCUAGGACGAAGGAGAGCCUUUGCCUCACCUGGACAGCUCAGGUUGAUGCGACAGAAUUGGAGCGGCCUAACAAACGUACGAUCGGCCGCGUUCCGGAGCACCUCGAAACCUUUCCGUAUCACGCGUUGGGAUUUCUCAUGACACAGCAUCCCGGGCGUCCCUCUGUGCAAAGUCAAGCGGUAAAGGAUUGAAUAACUGACAAGCGGUGUCUGGGAUUCAAAUGGUUCUGUUAAAAUUAAGCAAAGAACGCAAUAAGAAAAAUUAUCAUCCUUUUAAUGUCUGAAAUAGUUUGGAAUAAAAAUGCUGGGAAAAGGCAUUUUUGUAUUUGAAUUGGUGUCACCUGGAUAUAACCCCACAGCGAGCAAUCAGAGCAGAAAUGCGAAAGCCGGGAUUCUGCGACUCCUGCAGAGGACUUAAUUUUCUUUUCCUCCUCUCUUUUAGGACAGGAAAAAUCAUUACAGUCCUCUCAUCUUUGCCAAAAGACGUGGCGUUUCAGCAGCCAAAGCCAAGAGGCUUCAGCACCAGGGGUCUGCGCUGGAGGGCUCCUGGUCCUGCCCGUACUGUGGGGUUUGCAGUUUAUUAUGAGGGUGUGGGUGUAAGAAAGAGUGUGGAGCAUGGAGAGUAAGAGAUAAGGGGGUGAGAGAGAGAGAUUAGAAAUCGGAGGUAAGAGGUAAGAGAGAGCAAUUUUCCAUUCACAAUACAAUAAGUAUUCUUCUAUAAUGAAUAUUCUAAUUUUCCAAUAACCAAUCUAAUACAAUAUACUAAUUUCCUCAUAUUUGCACGCAAUCUAUAGAAACUACCAAAUUACUAUGUUUUAUGGCUUUCUUAUCUGUAACCCUUAUCUUUAGACCUUUGCUGCCAGGCUUAGGACAAAAUGUCUGUUAGUUCUUUGGUAUUUGUGGCAUUUAGUAUUGUCUAAACAAAGAAGGCUCAAACCUCAACCUGACUGUUUUCAGCAUCUAUAUAAAAAUAGGCUAACAUCUCAAUUUCAUCUGUUGUUUCAGAACUACUUGCUAGGCACUUAGAAAAUUUCUCUAUUCCCUCCCCAAGAAAAGCCGUCAGAAAUUUGGAUCCAAGUUCUAACUCUUAACCUAUUCACUGCAAAAAUUUGCCAAAGGCGGAGGACCGGGGCGACGACUGGCCCCAGGAAAGGUUACUUAUUAAUACCGCGUCAGAUUUCCCUCAGCGACCGUCAGCCCUGAGCGGCCGUGAGUUUGCGUUCUUCUCACCGGACAACCGGAAAUAAUUUCAGUAUCAUUAGAAAUUUUAGAAAAAUCCAGCUAAAAUUGUCAAGUCUUCCCCCCUUUAAGUUAACCCAGUUUUGCCCAGUUAGGAGCUACACAGAAGUGAGGCAGGGGAAAGCAUCAGGGAACAGCUCUAAGUUCAAAGGCAAAAAGAGAAGACAUAUCGGCAAAGGGAAGCAAAGGGGAAAGGCUUCAGAAAGCAUUUCUGUGGUCUAAUUAAUAAUUAUUUCUGAUUGCCCAGUGAGAAUACGCAAUCACAGUCAUUCAGGCCUGACGGUCCCCUGCACGCAGCGAGAGCUCAGCACGCAUCCGCAGAGGCGAGGCCAGUGCCUGAAAGAAGAAAAAAACAGAAG